rnacentral:misc_RNA from 1 species
GUGACUGCGGAGGAUCAUUAUUGAAUUACCGGUGAGGGUUGUAGCUGGCCUUUCGGGGCAUGUGCACGCCUGAGCCUUUAAUCCAACAUACACCUGUGAACCCAAUGUAAGGGCCCGUAAAAAGGGCCCCUACGUCUUUAUCACCAACUCUGUAUUCUUUGAAUGUAAUCUGUGUCUUCGCCUUAACAAGCGUCNNAUAAACUUAUACAACUUUCAACAACGGAUCUCUUGGCUCUCGCAUCGAUGAAGAACGCAGCGAAAUGCGAUAAGUAAUGUGAAUUGCANAUUUUCAGUGAAUCAUCNAAUCUUUGAACGCACCUUGCGCCCCUUGGUAUUCCGAGGGGCAUGCCUGUUUGAGUGUCAUUAAAUUCUCAACUCUGAUUUGAUUUGUUUCUCAUCAGAGCUUGGACUUGGAGUGUGCUGGCGUCUGGUCGGCUCCUCUCAAAUGGAUCAGCGGAAUCCAACCUUUGAUUUCCGGANGUCGGUGUGAUAAUAAAAGUUGCGCCGUCNUUCGACCUCAAAGUCCGCUUACAANUGUCUUCGGACNACUCUUAUCA